rnacentral:rRNA from 1 species
CGGAGGAACAUGUGGUUUAAUUCGAUGAUACGCGAGGAACCUUACCCGGGCUUAAAUUGCAAAGGAAUAAUCUGGAAACAGAUUAGUCUUCGGACCUUUGUGAAGGUGCUGCAUGGUUGUCGUCAGCUCGUGCCGUGAGGUGUCGGCUUAAGUGCCAUAACGAGCGCAACCCUUGUUGUCAGUUACUAACAGGUUCCGCUGAGGACUCUGACAAGACUGCCAUCGUAAGAUGUGAGGAAGGUGGGGAUGACGUCAAAUCAGCACGGCCCUUGCGUCCGGGGCUACACACGUGUUACAAUGGGGGGUACA